GCCGGUUUAGCUCAGUUGGUAGAGCAGUUGUUUUGUAAACAUCAGGUCACGAGUUCGAAUCUUGUAACCGGCACCA
rnacentral:tRNA from 2 species